UUGAAAUAUCAAUCAACUCUUAUCUCUUCCAUCUACCAUUGCCCCCCGACCCUCGUUCUUAAUUAUGCAAUUAUAGGUUCCGACGCUGCUUAAAAAUCAGAACAAAUCCGUACUCCGGCAUCUCCGCUGCAGUAUAUAACUAUUUGAUCCCAUCAUCUAUCUUUUGUCUCCAGUCUGGCGGUGUCACUUUUGUAGUCGGCUCUUCGCACUCCAACCAAGCUCCGCCGCACUCUUUCCCUUGCAGAUCCGCUAUUAAACUCACAUGCAGGCAGAACCUGAAGAUAAAGGCGAAACUUUUGGCUCUUCACACUCCGACAACCACCAUAGCAGCCGUUAACGAUGGUAUCACCGCCAACAUCGCCACCGCCAUUUACGAUGAUAUCAUCGCCAACGCCGUCCGAUUGACCAGACCGACUUCACCAAAAUGUUCACCACCCACCGGAAAUGUCUCCCUGCCGCCGUGCACGAGCGGCGGUCGAGGAAUGCUAGAUGUUGAGACUAAAAUCGGUAAUUCAAGGCAAAUGAGACAAAGCCAUGUGGGCUGCGCAUUUGAGCCUAAGAAUCGACGUUAAUAUCUA
rnacentral:lncRNA from 1 species